rnacentral:rRNA from 1 species
AGUCACUGACAUUAGAUACCCCCGUAGUCCCGGGUGUAAACGCUGCAGACUUGGUGUUGGAAGUCCUUUGGGGGCAUUCAGUGCCGGAGAGAAGUUGUUAAGUCUGCUACUUGGGGAGUACGUCCGCAAGGAUGAAACUUAAAGGAAUUGGCGGGGGAGCACCGCAACGGGAGGAGCGUGCGGUUUAAUUGGAUUCAACACCGUAAAACUCACCAGGGAAGACUGUUACAUGAAGGCCGAGAUGAAGACUCUGCUAGAUUUUUCAG